AGGGCAAGUCUGGUGCCAGCAGCCGCGGUAAUUCCAGCUCCAAUAGCGUAUAUUAAAGUUGUUGCAGUUAAAAAGCUCGUAGUUGAAUUUCGGGGUUCUACCGUUGGUCGGGCUAUUGUCUGUACUGGCGUGUAGAAUUUCUACCUUCUGGAGAACUAUCAUGUUAUUAAUUUAGCGUGGUAGGAAACCAGGACCUUUACCUUGAAAAAAUUAGAGUGUUCAAAGCAGGCUUAUGUCUGAAUACAUUAGCAUGGAAUAAUAAAAUAGGACGGUGGUCCUGUUUUGUUGGUUUCUGAAUCACCGUAAUGAUUAAUAGGGAUAGUUGGGGGCAUUAGUAUUCAAUUGUCAGAGGUGAAAUUCUUAGAUUUAUUGAAGACUAACUACUGCGAAAGCAUUUGCCAAGGAUGUUUUCAUUAAUCAAGAACGAAAGUUAGGGGAUCGAAGACGAUCAGAUACCGUCGUAGUCUUAACCAUAAACUAUGCCGACUAGGGAUCGGACGAUGUUAACUUUUCUUGACUCGUUCGGCGCCUUACGGGAA
rnacentral:rRNA from 1 species